rnacentral:scRNA from 1 species
AUCGCCGCUCUUAAUGCAGCACUGGAAGACGA